rnacentral:rRNA from 1 species
AUUGAACGCUGGCGGUAUGCUUAACACAUGCAAGUCGAUCGGUAACAGGCCUUCGGGCGCUGACGAGUGGCGGACGGGUGAGUAACGCGUAGGAAUCUGCCUCAUAGUGGGGGACAACGUGGGGAAACUCACGCUAAUACCGCAUACGCCCUACGGGGGAAAGCGGGGGAUCUUCGGACCUCGCGCUAUGAGAUGAGCCUGCGUUAGAUUAGCUAGUUGGUAGGGUAAAGGCCUACCAAGGCGACGAUCUAUAGCUGGUCUGAGAGGACGAUCAGCCACACUGGGACUAAGACACGGCCCAGACUCCUACGGGAGGCAGCAGUGGGGAAUAUUGGACAAUGGGCGCAAGCCUGAUCCAGCAAUACCGCGUGUGUGAAGAAGGCCCUAGGGUUGUAAAGCACUUUCAAUUGGGAGGAAAACCUGCCGGUCAAUACCCGGCAGCUUGACAUUACCUUUAGAAGAAGCACCGGCUAACUCCGUGCCAGCCGCCGCGGUAA